GCAACUCGACUCCAUGAAGUCGGAAUCGCUAGUAAUCGUGGAUCAGAAUGCCACGGUGAAUACGUUCCCGGGCCUUGUACACACCGCCCGUCACACCAUGGGAGUGGGUUGCAAAAGAAGUAGGUAGCUUAACCUUCGGGAGGGCGCUUACCACUUUGUGAUUCAUGACUGGGGUGAAGUCGUAACAAGGUAACCGUAGGGGAACCUGCGGUUGGAUCACCUCCUUACCUGAAAGAA
rnacentral:rRNA from 1 species